GUCGAGGGGCAGCAUCAUCAAAGCUUGCUUUGAUGGAUGGCGACCGGCGCACGGGUGAGUAACACGUAUCCAACCUGCCGACAACACUGGGAUAGCCUUUCGAAAGAAAGAUUAAUACCGGAUGGCAUAAUUUUUCCGCAUGGGAUGAUUAUUAAAGAAUUUCGGUUGUCGAUGGGGAUGCGUUCCAUUAGGCAGUUGGCGGGGUAACGGCCCACCAAACCUACGAUGGAUAGGGGUUCUGAGAGGAAGGUCCCCCACAUUGGAACUGAGACACGGUCCAAACUCCUACGGGAGGCAGCAGUGAGGAAUAUUGGUCAAUGGACGAGAGUCUGAACCAGCCAAGUAGCGUGAAGGAUGACUGCCCUAUGGGUUGUAAACUUCUUUUAUACGGGAAUAAAGUGAGCCACGUGUGGCUUUUUGUAUGUACCGUAUGAAUAAGGAUCGGCUAACUCCGUGCCAGCAGCCGCGGUAAUACGGAGGAUCCGAGCGUUAUCCGGAUUUAUUGGGUUUAAAGGGAGCGUAGGCGGGUUGUUAAGUCAGUUGUGAAAGUUUGCGGCUCAACCGUAAAAUUGCAGUUGAUACUGGCGACCUUGAGUGCAACAGAAGUAGGCGGAAUUCGUGGUGUAGCGGUGAAAUGCUUAGAUAUCACGAAGAACUCCGAUUGCGAAGGCAGCUUACUGGAUUGUAACUGACGCUGAUGCUCGAAAGUGUGGGUAUCAAACAGGAUUAGAUACCCUGGUAGUCCACACAGUAAACGAUGAAUACUCGCUGUUGGCGAUAUACAGUCAGCGGCCAAGCGAAAGCAUUAAGUAUUCCACCUGGGGAGUACGCCGGCAACGGUGAAACUCAAAGGAAUUGACGGGGGCCCGCACAAGCGGAGGAACAUGUGGUUUAAUUCGAUGAUACGCGAGGAACCUUACCCGGGCUUAAAUUGCAACUGACGGAAUCGGAACGUUCUUUCUUCGGACAGUUGUG
rnacentral:rRNA from 1 species